CUGUGCCCCAAUAAUACAUGUGCUGCAUAUGCUUUAUUUCCACGGAUUGCCCAUGGUGAAGUGGUUCGGCAACAUGCAUUUUUGGUUUUGUCUUCAAGCUUUAUUUCCACGGAUUAACCUAUGUUCAAUUCAAUCAGAGUGAGGAAAUUGGCCCAAACUUACCAUGGCCAACUUGACUCUGCCGAGAACUUCAAAAGGGUUGCUGUCAAAUUCGAGAACCAGGUGUUCCAUGAGGCUAACAGUAAGGCUAUCAACAAGAGCUAUCUGAUAUGCUGCCGAAAUGAAAUAAGCUUAAGGUUGAGGGUAGAGCCUUGAGUGGAUCAGGUUUUGAAGAAGAAAAAACUUCAGGGACAAAGUGUCACCCGGAGCGUUAGCACGGGCAGCCUGUCCAGGAAGCACAGCCUGGACGGCAGCAAUACCAGAAUAUGCUCAAGAGUUUUAAGUUUUGCCAUGGAUAGAAUGCAUGAUGAACUGCUGAAGCUUAAUGGCAAUGGCUUGCUAUGCACAGUUGUGAUGAUAUUUUUUAUGACUGAAAACAUGAUAACUUCUUUCUGUUCUUUCUGUAUCUCUCACCCUUUUAUUAUUGCUAAUCUGAGGGAUAUGCUAAUGGAUUUGCCAGACUUUCUUUACAAUGUAAAAUAUUGCAGUGAGAAAAUUUGCUCAUAUGUGCUACAAGAAGAUGCUAUAAGUGAGCAAUUGCUUCAAAGUUCUUUCUAAUUUUAUCUGGAGCACAGGUAUGUUUCUCUGAUGAUUACCUUGAAUCAUGAACUUGCCACUUUGCAUUGCUGUUAG